UGACAGAAGCUGACUUUCUGAGUCAGACCGU
rnacentral:piRNA from 1 species